UGUGUAAUGAAGGGACUGAGAGAUUCAGAGACAGACUGAAGCUGGAUCAUCAGUCUGGAUCUCUAACCAUCAUGAACAUCACAAACACAGACUCUGGAGAAUAUAAACUGAAGAUCAUCAACAGCAGCAUCAUGAGUGAGAAGAUCUUUAGUUUCCCUGUCCAAGAUCCUCGCUUUGAUGUGUAUGCAAUUAUACACCUUCAAUACAGAAUAAUAAAGGAUGCCUGGGGGGUACACCUCUCGGGGCCACGAUGACCACAGGUCCGAUGACGUGCCAGUGGUGGGCUGGACGUGGGGGGUAUCUGCAGAUCAUUUCUUUUACUGUCUAUGGGAUCAACCGCCGCCAUUCUUUCAAAUCGCUCUCUGCCAAGAGACCCCUCCUCUGUCUCUGGUUGGCCGUGAACCUGAAACAAACCAAUCAAUCCAACGAUGGCAGCGUGUAUUACCCAAUCAGGGGCAGAAUAGGACGAGUCUUCACAGAAUGCUGGUGGGAUGAUCUGCAUGAGAUGCUGCAUUGAAGACAACUCCGAAAAUAACCCCGUCCCGUAUUGAUUCAAAGCGGGACGCGCUGUUUUAUUCUCAAAUAUGGGAUGAUUCCGUAUUUUAAGGGACGGGUGGCAACCCUACACAAUUUGUUGUUUAUUUCAUGUCCAGUAUUGUCUUUGUGAGUUGUGCGAUUUUCUUCUUUUCCUAUGUUCAGUGCUCUCACUACUCGCUGCAAACAGAUUAACAUGAGAUGCAUCUCCAUUUCCUUGCCUGCCUCAUAAUCUUCGUUUCGGACAUCAUUGGCCCUGCCCCUGAUGCCGUCUUCACACUGGCAGUUGAAAUCCGCUCCAUAAUACGCAAUACUCCCCCAGUAGACGUCGUACUACACAGCUGAAAAGCUUCGAAAGCGAGUAGAACAAAAAUGGCGGAGAGAUUAUUAGAACGAUUGAUAUUGUCUGUAUCUGAAUGUGCAUGUCAGGUCAGCUAAAUGUGAUAUAGCUAGUGGUAUAUAGGGCUGCAACAACCCUGCACUCGAGCGAGAGAGACCGAAUGUGUCCGAGAGCGGAGGCCACAAUAUUUAAUUAUUCAUUUUAGUUGUAUUAACUGCCCUUAUAAUGUUAGAAAAUCAUGAAAAUAAAAAAAUGACAUGACAACUUAUCGUUAUAAAAUCAUUAUUUAUUUUAUUAAAAGUUAUGAAUUCAGGUUUGUUUAUCAGUACCAUAGCAACGCCAACUUCUGCUGGAAUUGUCGGAUAGAAACCCUCCGUAGCUUUUCGCAAGAGUUAAUUUUUUUUAACGCAUCCAAAUGACCAACGGACACGAUUUUUUUCGCACCGCACUUGUUCGGACCCGGUUCGUAGCCAUUCGCAUGUGGUCUGCGAAUCUCCAUAGGAAAUGAAUGACUUCCGGUCGUUUCGCAGCCGUAUCGGAGCUGAUUUCAACUGCCAGUGUGAAGGCGGCGUGACCGUUGGAUCUGCUGCGAAGCUAGCACCAGUGUGAACUCAGCAAAAGAGAAGACUUUAGGUCAGGAAUGGACAAGUAAAUGAGCCGAUUGCUGAUUGAUAAAUGCAUUACGUCACUGCAGCUUCUGUUAGAAACCUGAAAUGACUAAUUAAAUGCCCUACAGUCUUGUGGACUUAACAGACACACAUACACAGCCUCACUUGUAAGACUGCAAGACAAGUGCAUAAAGUGUGCCAUUUAAGACAGGGCCAAAGUCUUAGAUGUCAUGCCUACAGACUGUUAACUGAACAUCCAAUGCAUAUGGCAACAAAAGUUGUUUCCCAUGAUUUCCCAGAUAUGUGCGUCGUGCUCUUUAACUGUACACCUUAAUGUUUAUCAGGAAUAACUAAAUGCUGGAUUCUCAGAAGUAUUCAAAUUAUGUGAAGAACAUGGUACAGACUUUUUAAAAUACAUCCAAGAGUUUUACAUACCAGUCAGUUAUUGUAGACACAUUGAUGUUACAUUUCCACACCCCUAAACAGCAUGAACUGUGAUUGCUUGCUUUCUAUGUCAUUCAGAAAGCCUUUGGGUGGUUCUUGGCUGUGGAGUCUAGGCCUUCUCGCUAUAAUCAGUGAUGCUAUUUAUGUCACAAAGCACAUUCCAAACAAUAAACUAUAUACUAUAUAGACAUUUCAUAUUCAGCUGAAACUUUAAAUUUGGGUUUUGUUUGCUGCCAAUAUUGAGUUCUUUCUUGUUUCAUGCAGCAGAUGUUUAUUUGUGAUUCAGAUGUUCCUGCUGCAGAGACAGAUCAAAUAAAGUCAGUUAAGAAGGGAGAUGCUGCUACUUUUGAUCCUGCUGUCAUAAACAACCCAAAUGAACUGAUUACGGUUUUAUUUUAAUGAGACUCCCAUAGCUGAAAUGACUGGAGAUAUAUAUGUAUAUAUAUAUAUAUAUAUAUAU